AGCGAACGCUGGCGGCAGGCCUAAAACAUGCAAGUCGAACGGAUCCUUCGGGAUUAGUGGCGGACGGGUGAGUAACACGUGGGAACGUGCCUUUUGGUUCGGAACAACUCAGGGAAACUUGAGCUAAUACCGAAUGUGCCCUUCGGGGGAAAGAUUUAUCGCCAUUAGAGCGGCCCGCGUCUGAUUAGCUUGUUGGUGAGGUAAAGGCUCACCAAGGCGACGAUCAGUAGCUGGUCUGAGAGGAUGAUCAGCCACACUGGGACUGAGACACGGCCCAGACUCCUACGGGAGGCAGCAGUUAGGAAUCUUGCGCAAUGGGGGAAACCCUGACGCAGCCAUGCCGCGUGAAUGAUGAAGGUCUUAGGAUUGUAAAAUUCUUUCAGCGGGGACGAUAAUGACGGUACCCGCAGAAGAAGCCCCGGCUAACUUCGUGCCAGCAGCCGCGGUAAU
rnacentral:rRNA from 1 species